rnacentral:rRNA from 1 species
AUUGAACGCUGGCGGCAUGCUUUACACAUGCAAGUCGAACGGCAGCGCGGGCUUCGGCCUGGCGGCGAGUGGCGAACGGGUGAGUAAUACAUCGGAACGUGCCCAGUAGUGGGGGAUAGCUCGGCGAAAGCCGGAUUAAUACCGCAUACGACCUGAGGGUGAAAGCGGGGGAUCUUCGGACCUCGCGCUAUAGGAGCGGCCGAUGGCAGAUUAGCUAGUUGGUGGGGUAAAGGCCUACCAAGGCGACGAUCUGUAGCUGGUCUGAGAGGACGAGCAGCCACACUGGGACUGAGACACGGCCCAGACUCCUACGGGAGGCAGCAGUGGGGAAUUUGGGACAAUGGGCGAAAGCCUGAUCCAGCAAUGCCGCGUGUGUGAUGAAGGCCUUCGGGUUGUAAAGCACUUUUGGCGGGAACGAAAAUGACUGUGCCAAUACCACGGUUCGAUGACGGUACCCGCAGAAUAAGCACCGGCUAACUACGUG